rnacentral:lncRNA from 1 species
AUCUUGAGGAGUAGGAAAAUUUUUCCUCACCAUAAGAAGUUCACCAAUGUCAGCAUGCACUAUUUGUUCAUCAUCCGCAGCUUCUUCAUCAUUUUUCAACUCCUCUUCAAGUGGAUCCUCAGCACUCUCAUCAGAAUCAUUAUCCACCAAGAAGGCUUUACCGGCUGGUCGAUUCUUAUUGAUUCGACAAUUGCUAGCACGAUGACCCAACUCUCCACAAGAAUAGCAACGUAUUUCGGAUGUAGCAGGUUGCUUCGAAACAUGGGGCGGAGUAGAAGGCUUACUAGCAGAUUGCUGUCUUCGAGAAUGAGAGCGCUCCAUUUUGAGUGCCCGUUGGUGUGCAUCUCCUAAGUCCCAAAUGUCGAGGACUUCCAAGGCGUCUUGAAUGUAAAAUUGAAGACCGUUCAAGUAUUUGUUCACAAGCACAUCCUCUGGGUCCU